rnacentral:rRNA from 1 species
GACGAACCACACAAACGUUAUUCGGAAUUACUGGGCUUAAAGGGUGCGUAGGCGGCGCAGAAAGUAGGGUGUGAAAUCCCUCGGCUCAACCGAGGAACUGCGCCCUAAACUACUGUGCUCGAGGGAGGUAGAGGUGAGCGGAACUUAGGGUGGAGCGGUGAAAUGCGUUGAUAUCCUAAGGAACACCGGUGGCGAAAGCGGCUCACUGGACCUCUUCUGACGCUGAGGCACGAAAGUGUGGGGAUCAAACAGG